GGGUUGGGUCCCACACGACGUAAGACUGUGAACCUCGUCAGGUCUGGAAGGAAGCAGCGAUAAGCAGCCCCUGCGUGUGAUGUGGAUAAAUCUUGCCUGAGU
rnacentral:SRP_RNA from 1 species